UAUUAAAUGUCUUAGCAAACUUUUGAUUAAGAUUUUAUAUGAUUCCUCAGAGUAUUUUAGGAAGAAAUUUUCAGUGAUGAAGCGUGAGUUUCCUGCGUAAUUUUGGAGCCCAAACUGCUUAAUUUGGUUUGAACUAAUCAAGCCUUGCGUUUACAUACUCGGAUGAGCAUAGAGUUUUUAGUUUUUGAUGUUUUUCCCGAAGCCGAUUGACUCCAAUGUCACGAGUGUUUUAGAUUUUUUUUUAAGUUCUUGCUUUCUUGGGUAAGAAAGUUGGGAUUGAGCUCAAAAGUUGUUAAAAAGUCGUGACUUCUGAUCAUUGGCAGUUGAAUCUGUUAUAACAGUCAUUGGUGUUUGGACUGCAAAAAUGCUUUAAUAUUGUGGAUAUUGUCUGGAACUAGAACGUGACAUUUUCAAGCUGACAUUACAGGUGAUUUUAUAAGGUUAAUGUUGAAGAAGGAAAAUGCGGAAGUCGUCAUUUGACAAGUUUUAUAAAUGAGUAUUUGAAGCUCAGGAAUAAGUGAAGCUGAAAUUUGAAAAAAUAAAAGAAAGAAUGCAUGCUAAUUAUCAGACCAGAAGUCCCACUUGUAGAAUAUUGAGCAAUUUGUGUGAAGUGGGGAAGAUGAAAGAAGUCAGAAUUUGAAACGGAAGAAUGAAGAAAAGAAAUAAAAAUGAAGUUAAGAUAAGAAGUAAUCUGGAAUCAGAAAGCACUACGCUAAGAAUCCCG
rnacentral:lncRNA from 10 species